rnacentral:rRNA from 1 species
UCAAGUGAAUAAGGGCUUACGACGGAUACCUUGGUGUUUAGAAGCGAUGAAGGGCAUGGCUACCAGUGUAAUGCUUCGGGGAGCUGGAAGCAAGCUUUGAUCCGGAGGUUCCCGAAUGAGGAAACUUGUAUAUUUUUUGUGGAAUUAAUAAAGCAAAAAAAGCGAACCUAGUGAAUUGAAACAUCUUAUUAGCUAGAGGAAAAGAAAGCAAAAGCGAUUCCCUGAGUAGCGGCGAGCGAAACGGGAACAGCCUAAACCAUACAAACAGUAUGGGGUUGUGGGACGAUAUAACGUAGAAUGAUUGCUAGGUGAAAACUUUGGAAUAUUUUGCCAUAGAAGGUGAAAGCCCUGUAAUCGAAAGCAUAAUUUCGCAAAUCGUAUCCCGAGUAGUAUGGUGCACGUGAAACACCGUAUGAAUCUGCGAGGACCACCUCGUAAGGCUAAAUAUUCCUAAGCAACCGAUAGUGAACCAGUACCGUGAGGGAAAGGUGAAAAGAACCCCGGGAGGGGAGUGAAAUAGAACAUGAAAUCGUAAGCCUACAAGCAGUGGAAGGACGACUAAUCGUUUAACCUCGUGCCUGUUGAAGAAUGAGCCGGCGACUUGUAGGUAAUGGCAGGUUAAAGUUAUGAAGCUGAAGCCAUAGCGAAAGCGAGUCUGAACAGGGCGUUUGUCAUUAUUUACAGACCCGAACCCGGAUGAUCUAGCCAUGACCAGAAUGAAGCUUAAGUAACACUAAGUGGAGGUUCGAACCGACUGAUGUUGAAAAAUCAGCGGAUGAGUUGUGGCUAGGGGUGAAAUGCCAAUCGAAUUCGGAGCUAGCUGGUUCUCCUCGAAAUGCGUUUAGGCGCAGCGGUUAACGCUAUAACUUAGGGGUAAAGCACUGUUUUGAUGAUGGCUUCGAAAGUUGUACUGAAUUAAUGCAAACUCUGAAUACUAAGUGUGUAGUUAACCAGUGAGACAGUGGGGGAUAAGCUUCAUUGUCAAAAGGGAAACAGCCCAGAUUACCAGCUAAGGCCCCUAAAUAACUGCUAAGUGGUAAAGGAGGUGAAAAUGCGUAGACAGCCAGAAGGUUCGCUUAGAAGCAGCAAUCCUUUAAAGAGUGCGUAAUAGCUCACUGGUCAAGUGAUUUUGCGCCGAAAAUGAACGGGACUAAGCAGUUUGCCGAAGCUGUAAGAUACUUUUGUAUCGGUAGAGGAGCGUUCUGUAUGAGGUUGAAGCAUUAGCGUGAGCGGGUGUGGACGAUACAGAAGUGAGAAUGUCGGCUUGAGUAGCGAAAACAUUGGUGAGAAUCCAAUGCCCCGAAAACCUAAGGUUUCCUUUGGAAGGUUCGUCCGCGAAGGGUGAGUCAGGACCUAAGGCGAGACUGAAAAGUGUAGUCGAUGGAUAACAGGUUAAUAUUCCUGUACCGUUUGAUGUUUGCAUCGAAGGACGGAGUCAGCUAAGUCAGCCAGGUAUUGGUUACUGGUUUAAGCAUACGAGGUGUUGAUAGAUAGUGAAAAUAUCUUGAGCUAAGUAGUGAAUACAAGGUACUUCGGUACUAAAGUGACUGAUGUUAUACUUCCAAGAAAAGUUCGUAAUGCGUUAAGCAUCAAACGCCUGUACCGUAAACCGACACAGGUGGGUAGGUAGAGUAUACUAAGGGGCGCGAGAUAACUCUCUUUAAGGAACUCGGCAAAAUGGCCCCGUAACUUCGGAAGAAGGGGUACCUUUUAAUCAAGGUUGCAAUAAAUAGACCCAAGCGACUGUUUACCAAAAACACAGGUCUCCGCGAAGUCGUAAGACAAUGUAUGGGGGCUGACGCCUGCCCAGUGCCGGAAGGUUAAAGAAGUUGGUUAGUUCUUUAGAAUGAAGCUAGCGACUGAAGCCCCGGUGAACGGCGGCCGUAACUAUAACGGUCCUAAGGUAGCGAAAUUCCUUGUCGGGUAAGUUCCGACCCGCACGAAAGGCGUAACGACUUGGGUGCUGUCUCGAAGAGAGACUCGGCGAAAUAGACAUGUCUGUGAAGAUGCGGACUACCUGCACCUGGACAGAAAGACCCUAUGAAGCUUUACUGUAUUUUGGAAUUGGGUUUCGACUUUUCUUGCGCAGAAUAGGUGGGAGGCUAUGAUCAUAUUCUUGCGGGAGUAUAGGAGCCACCAGUGAGAUACCACUCUAGGCAAGCUGAAAUUCUAACUUUGUUAGCCGUUAUCCGGCCAAAGAACAGUUCCAGAUAGACAGUUUGACUGGGGCGGUCGCCUCCUAAAAGGUAACGGAGGCGUGCAAAGGUUCCCUCAGGCUGGUCGGAAAUCAGUCGUAGAGUGUAAAGGUAUAAGGGAGCUUGACUGCGAGACUUACAAGUCGAGCAGAGACGAAAGUCGGCCUUAGUGAUCCGGCGGUUCCGAGUGGAAGGGCCGUCGCUCAACGGAUAAAAGUUACUCUAGGGAUAACAGGCUGAUCUCCCCCAAGAGUUCACAUCGACGGGGAGGUUUGGCACCUCGAUGUCGGCUCGUCGCAUCCUGGGGCGGUAGUACGUCCCAAGGGUUGGGCUGUUCGCCCAUGAAAGCGGCACGCGAGCUGGGUUCAGAACGUCGUGAGACAGUUCGGUCCAUAUCCGGUGUAGGCGUUAGAGUAUUGAGAGACCUUCUUUCUAGUACGAGAGGACCGAAAGAAACAUACCGCUGGUGUACCAGUUAUCGUUCCAACGGUAAACGCUGGGUAGCUAUGUGUGGAAAGAAUAACCGCUGAAAGCAUCUAAGUGGGAAAUCAGUCUCAAGAUGAGUACUCUCUCUACUUAUAGUAGUUAAGGUCACGGAAAGAUCAUCCGUUUGAUAGGUACUAAGUGUAAGUGCAGUAAUGUAUUGAGCUGAGGUAUACUAAUAGACCGAGGACUUGAAAAU